GCAUAAUCAUUUGCCUUUUAAUUAAAGGCUAGUAUGAAUGGACACACGUAAGCUAAGCUGUCUCAUUAACAACCAUAAAAAUUAACCUUUGGGUGAAGAGACCCAAAUUAUAUAAAAAGACGAAAAGACCCUAUGGAGCUUUACUUAAAUAGAAAACCUAAUAAAUUACAUAAAAAAAAACUUCUUUAUAAAGUUUAGUUGGGGCGACUAAGGAGCACAAAAAAUCCUCCUUUUAAUAAAAGAAAAUAACUCUUCUACAGAUCCACCUAAGUGAAUAUAAAACCAGCUACCCUAGGGAUAACAGGCUAAUCCUCCUCGAGAGCCCAAAUUGACAGGAGGGGUUGGCACCUCGAUGUUGGCUUAAGGUUCCUUCAAAGUGCAGCAGCUUUGAGAGUAGGUUUGUUCACCCUUUAAAACCUU
rnacentral:rRNA from 1 species